GUUGUCUCGCAUUCAUUUCUAUUAACUGCGAUUAAAUGGAAUGCUAAAUCAGUGGUCUUGCAUUACAUCCAGAUGGCAUGCUAAUUAGUUUAUAUGCACUAAAUCCCCUUAUAUGGUGCUAGCCUAAAUUCUUGGCUGAACCUAAGAAUCCUUGAAAAUUCCACAAUUUUGAAGUAAAUAGUAUGAUCAAACAAAUAUCCAAAAGCAUUACAAUUAUCUAGCACAGCUGUCAUUACAAGCUAAGCAAGUUGAAACUCAUAAAAUCCUUCUAAUAUACAAUUACUGGCAGGAUCAUGCUUGGACAGCCUUAGCCAUGCCAAAUGCAGCAGCAGAUGCAAUGGCGCCAAUAAGGGCAGUUUGCAAGGCGCUUCUGAAGGGUUUGUUACCUGUGAAAUACCCCUUUCCAUAGCCAAAGAUCAACAGCGCAAUUAAGGUUAAGAUGACUGAUGCAACCAUAGCAUCUUGAGCUCUUGGAAUGAACAUGUAGGGAAUGAGAGGCACUAAACCACCCAAAAUGUAAGCGAUGGCAAUAGUUAGGGCACUCUGUAGUGCUCUUCUGGGAUCUGGCUUCUCCAACCCCAGUUCAAACUUCAUCAUGAAAUCGAGCCAUGCUUGAGGCUUCUUCCUAAGUGCAUUAACCACAGGCCCAUAUUCAUGUGGCUCUAUUCCAUACUCUGCUAGUAUCUCUGCCACUUCAGCUGCCUCUGCUCUCCAAACAAUUCUCUUCCGUUAAACACAUAUUUAUUCCUUGAACUUCUACAUAUUCGUAAAAAUGUUUUAGAAUCAGUAGAAAAUUUUUCAAAAGUUUUGAUCAGAGAACCUGUAUCAGGAACAGUGACGAUCUCUUCUUCUUCUCUUUUUAGCUCCCUUGCGUAGUGAUCUGCCUCGCUUUUGGCCGCAAGGUACCCUCCAAGUCCCAUGGAGAUAGCACCGGCAGCGACUUCGGCGACGCCAGCGGUGAGGACAAUGGAAGAAGUGGCAUUGGCGCCGGAUAAACCAGCAGCGAGGGCGAAAGGCACGGUGAGACCGUCGGAUACUCCGAUGAUGAUGUCGCGAACAAUCUCACCGGCGGUGAAGUGGCGCUCCUUGUGCUGGCUGAGCAGGCUCUGCUUCUCGUGGUCUAAGUUUCCUAGGGUUGGUGCAGCCAUUAAAAUCAACAAUUUAGGGCUUUCCGCUAGCAAGUAUGGGGUAAUGGAGAACGGUGACCUACUUGUUGUAUGCGAGCCAGGAGCGUUCAGCUGAAUUAUAAUGAUGAGUUGUUCGUCUGUUUGUAAAUAAAGGUGUGAUUUUGUUUUCUUCUUGUGGGUUGUAGCGUGGCGGCUCA
rnacentral:misc_RNA from 1 species